UGCAGUCGAGCGGUAACAUUUCUAGCUUGCCAGAAGAUGACGAGCGGCGGACGGGUGAGUAAUGCUUGGGAAUAUGCCUUAGGGUGGGGGACAACAGUUGGAAACGACUGCUAAUACCGCAUAACGUCUACGGACCAAAGGGGGCUUCGGCUCUCGCCCUUAGAUUAGCCCAAGUGGGAUUAGCUAGUUGGUGAGGUAAUGGCUCACCAAGGCGACGAUCCCUAGCUGGUUUGAGAGGAUGAUCAGCCACACUGGAACUGAGACACGGUCCAGACUCCUACGGGAGGCAGCAGUGGGGAAUAUUGCACAAUGGGCGCAAGCCUGAUGCAGCCAUGCCGCGUGUGUGAAGAAGGCCUUAGGGUUGUAAAGCACUUUCAGUAAGGAGGAAAGGUUAGUAGUUAAUACCUGCUAGCUGUGACGUUACUUACAGAAGAAGCACCGGCUAACUCCGUGCCAGCAGCCGCGGUAAUACGGAGGGUGCGAGCGUUAAUCGGAAUUACUGGGCGUAAAGCGUACGCAGGCGGUUUGUUAAGCGAGAUGUGAAAGCCCCGGGCUCAACCUGGGAACUGCAUUUCGAACUGGCAAACUAGAGUAUGAGAGAGGGUGGUGGAAUUUCAGGUGUAGCGGUGAAAUGCGUAGAGAUCUGAAGGAAUACCGAUGGCGAAGGCAGCCACCUGGGUCAAUACUGACGCUCAUGUACGAAAGCGUGGGGAGCAAACGGGAUUAGAUACCCCGGUAGUCCACGCCGUAAACGAUGUCUACUAGGAGCUGGGGUCUUCGGACAACUUUU
rnacentral:rRNA from 1 species